UCCAGUCCUGGUCCCCCCCAGGCUCCUCCCCGCCCCCACCGUCCUCCGGCCUCGCUGGGGGGAAGGAAGCCCCGCUCUCUCCGCCGGGUAUAAAUAGCGCAGGUGGUUACUCAGCCUCGGGAACAUGAUAACAUGAGUCACCCGCGAAAUCAAGACAGCGCCGUCAGCCCGGGCACCGCCCCGGGCACCGCAGAGGUGGGCUCCCGGGAGGGGCUGCGGUGCCCGUACUGGGACAGCACCCUGCACGGUCCGAGCCGCGGAGAAGCCGCAGGCCAAGCACGGUCUCAGCCAGGCCACAGGCAGGGUGGGACAGCUCGGUGUCCCCGCCCUCUCUGCGCAUCUGGAGGGGCGGCGUCCUUCCCAGGGCCCUCCCCAGCCAGGAGGGAGGAGGAGGGCAGGGGCCACACUCCCAGCGUCCUUGGGUCCUCUCCCUGUGCCCGUCACAUGUGGCAUAUAGAGUAAGUCCAUCGGAACUUUUGGUCCCCUCGCCCCAUUUCCAGGGCAAGUGGCUUUUGGGGUCCCCUGGGCCUCGAUGGGGACCUGUGGGAUGGAGCAGGGGGUUGGGCAGCAGCAGAAGGGCCUGCGGGGCCACGCCCACCCAAGUGGCCCUGGAUCGAGGACACUCUGCCUAACACCUUCCUCUGCGCCUGGCUGCGGCGUGGGCACAGAAACAGGACACCCUCAAGGACCUCGGGCGGAGCCGUGUGACCAGCCAGGCGGCAAGGCCAGGGCCUGGCCCUGCAGGCUAGAUCAGCAGCCACCCAGCCCCGGCUCCUCGCCCAAGUCCUCUGCUCCGACUCAUCUCCAGAGCCACACAGGCCCGGACCCCGUUGCCAUGGCAACGGGCUCUGGAGCCAGCGCAGACCAGGCCACGUCUCCUGUCCGCCUCGGGCCACCAGGCCUGGUGGGGACAGCAGGGCCACAUGGAAGGGAGGAGCCCAUCACACCUGUCCUGGUGGGGGAGUGUCUGGCGGGGCACAGCAGGUCUUCUGUCCAGGCCGCCUGUUGAGGCACUAGGGUGACCAUGUGACCACAUGGCUCUGUCCCUGGGACUGAGCCUGAGGACCCCAGAGUCAGAGGGAGAUCGAGAGUCUCCUGGCUGUUGGGAGGUGGCACAGCUGAGGGCUGAGCACUGGGACCCCAGAACCCCGACCUCGGCCAUGCAACACCCCCCCCCCGCCAUCUCUGGCCUUUGUCCAAAGGGAGCCCCCAGAGCCGCGCCCCUGGCUCCCAACCCUGGCCUUGUCUCUUCUCCAGGAGACACAGCCCCACCCUGCCCGGCCCCCUGCAUGCCCAGACAGCUUGGCAUGGCCCGGACCCUGCCAUUCAAUGGGUAGCCUGCCCUCUGGCCCCUCACACAAUAGGGACUCCAGGAAUACUGUCCCCCAGGCUGAAUCAAAGGCUCUAAAUUUAGCCCAUCUGCUACUGCGAGCUUCCUGCCCCUGCUGCCUCCUUUCCAGGCGAUGAGGUCACCCCGGAACCGCCUGCCCCUGCGGCCAGGCCGGGGGGUUUCCAGGUCCGGGGUGUUCUGCGGCUCUUGGGGACAGGGCCUUGAGCGUCCUCCUCCCUCCAGGGCCCUGGGGCCCCUCCUGCUCCUGGCCCUGUGGCCGACGUCCUCCUGGCCACCCCGGCCCCGCUGAGUCCCGGGAAUGUCACCAAAAUGACUUAUGGAGAGUCCAGUCCAUGCUGGCCCUGCGCCCAGGAGAGGGCAGCGGACCGGACCGGGACAUGUCCUGCCCUCUCGGCAGGGACAAUCAGCAAGUAGACCAUAAACCAACCAGACAAUGUCACUCACGGAAAGUGGCAUAAAGGAAAUAAACGAGAGAUGCCAUCACGGCACCAGGGACGAGGAAGGACAAGAACUGAGCACCCUCAACUGCGGGCAAAGGCACCUUGAGGAGUUUCCUCCUUUAGUCCCUUCAUGAGUCACAGUGGCCCAGAGAGGAUAUGUGUCCCACAGCAGGUCAGCUGUCCCCGGAACACCGCUGAGAGUAGGUAGCGACCUCCCCACUGUCCCUCCCUGAAUGGCUCCACGAAGCCCCUCUCCCCCACUCUGCCAGGAACCCAGGGUAGGCAGGGAGUGGGGGGCCUGGAAUGUGGCCUUCUGAUGCCACACUGUGUGCCACCCUCGGCAGAGACCUGGGGGGCACACAGAGGGACCAUCAGCUCUCUUCCAGAAUGGGGAGGCUGGCAGGGGCCAGCCGAGGAGGGCAGGGUCUCAGCUGGGGGACAUCUCCUGUUGGAGCUGCUGUCCCUGCUUCCCCCAGGGUGGGAGCCGAGGCCUAGCAAUGGUGACCCUACCCAUCCCUGCAGUGUCUCUUGCCACAAGGGCUCAGUGUGCGCAUUUAGGAGGUGACAGGCCCCAACCCAGGCCAGGCUUACCCUAGCACUCCUGAUCCCCCCAACCUGGCCCCUGAGAAGAAGGUGAAAACCUCUCUGCUGGCCAGGGGAGCCCAGGGAAGGUGGAGCGAAUGGGAAGUGGGAUACUCAGCGAGGACCCUGACUCCAGCCGUGUGACCUUGGGCAAGUGACUGAACCUCCCUGAACCUGGGUCUCCUCAUUUGUCUAACAGCAAUAAUUACAGGGCCUAACCCGCUGGGGUUCCUGGGGCAGAGCGUUUUUCUUAGUGAGUAGCUGGGGUAAGAGGAUGUAGGGGAGUUCACGCGCCCCCAGUGGUCCCGGGGUGCUGGAAACCUCUGGGGAGGGUAAGGAGCCGGGGCCAGGAGAGGUGGCGGACAUCCACCCAGUCCAGGUCGCCGGUGCGCGGGCACCCGCUCAGCCAGGCCGUGGCAGGAUGGCAGGCGGGUGAGGACUCCUCGCCCCGCGGCUGAGCCCCCUCCCUCCGCAGCAGGACCCAGGCCAAGGAGGCUUUAUUUUUAAACCUCAAACAAUGGCUGGCCCGGCUCAGCCUCUCCUCCGAGGACAGAGAGAGCGUGGAGCCGAGGGGCCAGGCUUCCUGGGCCAGCAUUCCUCCCCAGAGGACGCCGCCCCCCUCCAAGACAGGCCCGGAGCCCGCUGGGCCCUCCUUCUCAGCCGCAGGGGGUCGGGAUUCCAGAAUCUUCAGCAGCCCCGGGCCCUGGCCAGGACACCCACCGCCACCCCCACCAGCCCCUCCAGCCCUUGUCGCUCCCCAGGGCAGCUGGACACCGUCUCCUGGGAAGGCUCCCCCCGACCUGUCCAGCACCCGUGACCCCCUGAUGCCCCCAAGUCCCCUUGCUCACAGCCCUGUGGGAAACUCCUGCCCCUGUGCAGCAGGACAGUGUCCCUGACAGUGACCUGCGGUGACAGUCGAGCCAGGCAAGGGUGACUGGAUGAGAGUCAGGGGGAGUAGCCUGUGUGGAACCCAAUGUCAGCCCCUGUGUGACCUUGAGCAGGACCCAUAACCAUCCUUUGUCCCGUCAUUUCCUCUUCUGGGCAACAGGGACAAUAAGCCACCCCACGCCCAUCACACGGCGAGAACGGUCUUGGCUUCUGGGUGGGCAGGGGACGCUGGAAAUGGGGGCCCAGCCCCUGUGGUCCCUACAGAGACCCACAGACCCACACCCCGGCCAGGCCACCUGCGUCUCUCCCAGGUCUGCCACUGUCGGCCUCGGAUCUGGAAGGUCAGGCAGGUCACCGCCGUCACCUCUUCAGCUGCAGAACGGCUGAAGCCCCACCGCGCCUCCCGGGGCUGCCACGAGGUCAGAGAAACGCGAAGCUGGGCGCUGGGUGACCCCAGAGUGUGGAGGACACCGGACGUGUGGGGACGAGAACGGGCACCAGGCUGGAGGUGUGCAUUUGUGUCCUGGGCGAGGCUGUGUCCAGGCCUGGGGCAUGUGUGGGCUGCGACCUUCGGUGAGCGCCCGGGGGGUGCAGGGGGACACGAGGAGGACGUGCGGGGGACCCCUCCUCGCCAGUAUCGUUUCCUGCUAGACGGGGAGCACAGGUCACCAAGGUCCCCUCUCUCCCGAGCCUGGCCCCCCCACCCCAGAGGGAGACUCCUGGGAGAGGAGAGGGACGGUCCGGGGGAGAAGGGAAGGGCUUGGCGUCUCCGGCCUGGGCAUCCUCGGCUCCUGCCUGUGACACUGCGAGUCCUCCUUGGCCAUCCCCCCAUCCUGUGGACUCUCCUUUGUCCACUGCAGGGACCCAGUGUCCAGAACAGCACCAGACACAUAGUAGGUGCUCAGCGAGCUACGCGACUGCCACCCCCGUGACCAGGCCCAGAGCGUCCCGCUGCCCCAGGGCCCCUCCUGCCCCUUUCUCAGGCCCUCCCUCUCCAGCUCCCUCCCGGGCAGCCCCGACCUGCCCUCGGGCACCAGAAUUUUGCCUUUUCUAGAAUUUCCCGUAAGCAAGAGCGUGUGACCGCCGACACCUGCCUCUGCAGAGCCAGCUCCCAUGGCCACAAGGGUCAGAGGAGGGGCCCGUCAGCAGGUGACAGGUGACAGGCACAAGUGACAGGCCCAGGAAAGGUGAACAGGCCUGGCUGGAGAAAUGAUUUGGGAGGACUCUGUGGCCAGAUCUAAGAAGGGCCUCCUCAGCAGAGGCCAGGAGAAGUUUCGGGGGGGGGGGUAGGGGGGCUCACAGACACACACACAAGUGUGCACUCACAAGCACGUGAGCACACUCCUGCUCGCACAUACAAGGAGGAGAGCAGGCCAGGCCCGGAAGGACGGCUCCGAGGCAGACGAGGUCCAGGCCGGGGCCUGCUUGGUCCCUCUUCGCUGCCCAGGAGAACCCCCUCCAGGCUGCCCAGGGAGGAGCCGCGGGCCGGCCAGGGUGGGCUGGGUGAGUGGAGCGCGCUCCGUGGCCCCUAGGCUGUCACGGGAAGCAGCACUUGGUUCUCUGGACGCUGGCCUCUGCAGCCCCAGGAGGCCACGCUAGGAGGACACUCAGCCGCCCACACAGUCCCAAGUCCAGCCACUGACCACAGCUGUGUGAGACCCCAAGCCACACAGCCUUGCUCAGCCCUUCCUGACCUCCUGACCUGCAGAAGCUACGAGAACAAGCUGCUUCUUAGGCAGGGUCUCGCUGAGCUGCUUAGGGCCUCACCAUUGAUGAGGCUGGCUUUGCACUUGUGAUCCUCCUGCCUCAGCCUCCCAUGCCACUGGGAUUACAGGAGUGCACCACCGUGCCUGGCUUCUUGCUCCCACAUUCUGGAAUGUGAGAUGCCACCAAUCAGCAGGCCUCCCCGACGCCUGCCCCUGCCUCCAGUACCCCCAGCCUUCACUUCCUGCUCCUGCUCCUGCUGAGGCUGGUAAAUCGUGCUCGGUCUUUCGCUGCCUGCCUUUCUUGUGUUUCUGCAAGCCCCUGCCAACGGGGACUUUCUACGGUUUAUCUUCAGGGCCCAGAGCAGGGCCUGGCCCGCCAUGCAGCUGUGAGUGAGUGGAUGGAUGCAUGCAUGACUCAUCUCACCCCUGAUGGUGACAGGGUGACAGGGAGAGCACUGAGCCUUUCAAGACAGGUUGCUCACAGAAAAAAAAAAAAAAAAUCCAGCCAGGCACCAUGGCGCACACCUGUAAUCCCAGUGAUUCUGGGAGGCUGAGGGAGGAGGAUCUCAAGUUCGAGGCCAGCCUCAGCAACUUGGCAAAACCCCAUCUCAAAUUAAAAUUUGAAAAGGGCUGGGAUAAGGGUCCGGGGAGAGCACUUGUCUAUCAUGCACAAGUCCCUGGACUCAGUCCCGAGUACUAAGGGGAAAAAUUCCACUAAGAAGUGCACAGAGGACCUGAAUAGACCUCCCUGCCAAGAAGACCUACAAAGGCCAAUAAGCGCGUGGAGAAACGUCUGCAUCACGAAUCACCAGAGAGAUGCAAAUCAAAGCCACCGGAGAGCUUGUGACCCCGUCAGUGUGGCUAUCAUCAAAAUCACAAGAAAUAGCAAAUGCCAGGUAAGAACGUGGAGGAAGGGAGAGUCCCAGACCUGUGGCCAGCACCGGCAGGACAGCCCGCAGAGCGGAGGUUCCUCAAAACACAAGACCGCGCUCUGCUCCCCUAACCGCCACAGGGCCCAGAGCCCGGGACAGGAGCAUAGCAGGUCCGAGGUGUGCACUCCGCAAUGAUCCCUGCAGCGUCCUUCACGGUCCCAAGAAGUGCCCUCGACCCCAGUGUCCAUCGGGGGAUUAGUGGCUAAAGAAAACGUGGCCUGUCCACAGUGGCCUCCCACGCAGCCGGAAAAAAGGGUGAUUCUGUCAUCUGCAGCAACACGGGGGUGCAGCGGUGCACACCUGUAAUCCCAGCGGCUUGGGAGACUGAGGCAGGAGGAUCGUGAGUUCAAAGCCAGCCUCAGCAACAGCAAGGCACUAAGCAACUCAGUUAGAUCCUGUCUCUAAAUAAAACACAAAAUAAAGAG